rnacentral:tRNA from 1 species
UACAUUUUAGUGUAUGAUGCACAGAAAUUUUUGAUGUUUUUAGGGGUAGUUUAAUUCUACCAAGUGUAA